ensembl:rRNA 5S_rRNA 5S ribosomal RNA
GCUUACGGCCAUACCACCCUGAACACGCCCCAUCUCGUCUGAUCUCGGAAGCUAAGCAGGGUCGGGCCUGGUCAGUACUUGGAUGGGAGACCGCCUGGGAAUACCAGGUGCUGUAAGCU